AUUUUAUAUAAUUUAGUAUUUAAUUUUUAUUUACUUUAAAUAUUUUAUUGGGGUGAUAAAAAAAUUUAUUUAACUUUUUUUAUUUUUUUUUUAAAAAUUAUUGAAUUUAAUAAUAAAUUUUUUUUUAUUUAAAUUAAAC
rnacentral:rRNA from 1 species